GAUGUACUCGGUCAACGACCUAUGGUCGU
rnacentral:sRNA from 1 species